UACAGAGGUCCCGAGCGUUGUUCGGAUUCACUGGGCGUAAAGGGUGCGUAGGUGGCGAGGUAAGUCGGAUGUGAAAUCUCCAAGCUUAACUUGGAAAUGGCAUUGGAAACUACCUGGCUAGAGGUUUGGAGGGGGGACUGGAAUUCUCGGUGUAGCAGUGAAAUGCGUAGAUAUCGUAAGGAAGGCCGGUGGCGAAAGCGAACCUCUGGGCAGCAGCUGACGCUGUGGCACGAAGGCUAGGGGAGCAAACGGG
rnacentral:rRNA from 1 species